GAUGAACGCUGGCGGCGUGCCUAAUACAUGCAAGUCGAGCGAACAGACGAGGAGCUUGCUCCUCUGACGUUAGCGGCGGACGGGUGAGUAACACGUGGAUAACCUACCUAUAAGACUGGGAUAACUUCGGGAAACCGGAGCUAAUACCGGAUAAUAUAUUGAACCGCAUGGUUCAAUAGUGAAAGACGGUUUUGCUGUCACUUAUAGAUGGAUCCGCGCCGCAUUAGCUAGUUGGUAAGGUACAGGCUUACCAAGGCAACGAUGCGUAGCCGACCUGAGAGGGUGAUCGGCCACACGGGAACUGAGACACGGUCCAGACGCCUACGGGAGGCAGCAGUAGGGAAUCUUCCGCAAUGGGCGAAAGCCUGACGGAGCAACGCCGCGUGAGUGAUGAAGGUCUUCGGAUCGUAAAACUCUGUUAUUAGGGAAGAACAAAUGUGUAAGUAACUAUGCACGUCUUGACGGUACCUAAUCAGAAAGCCACGGCUAACUACGUG
rnacentral:rRNA from 1 species